UUUUUUAUUUGUUGUUUAAAUGCAAUAUGUUUCUUUGUAAAUUCCAUUUUAAUUAAAAAUUUACUGAUUUUACAUAUGAUAAUGAUAUUUGUGUCAUGAUUUCUUAGUCUUUUAUUUCUAAUAUUCGUCAUAUAAUUAUUUAAUAAAAUCUUACCAAAUAAUUCACUAUUUACAUAGAAUUUCAUAAUGAAUCUAUUUUUUCUAAUUAUUAACAUAUCCUUGUUUAUUACAACAAUUACGUGUACUUUGUCUCCACCCACUAACAAACAAAAGAAAGAUAAAGGACACAUAACCGGCAAGAAAGGACCUAUCAACCAGAGUGUAUUUGAUAGAGGACUAGUUGUAGAGAAUCCAAAAAGUACCGAUAUUUUAAAAGAAAGCGGACUUUAUCAUAAAAAUACUAAAGUAAAAAAUUUUCCAAAUGAAGUCCUUGGAUAUAUAACUCCAUGGAAUGCAGAUGGUUAUGAUGUUGCAAAAACAUUCCACAACAAAUUUACAUUAAUUUCUCCAGUUUGGUUCAAUAUAGUAGCUGGAGUUGGUAAGAAAUUCCAACUUGCUACUCAUGAUAUUCAAAAGAAAUGGCUUAAAGAUAUGAAAGCUGCUAAUGAUAAAAAUCAUACCGUAAGAAUUGUACCAAGAGUAUUAUUUGAACGAUGGUCUCCACAUGAAAUAACGUCAUUUCAUGCUAAUCAUGAAAAACAAGACCAGUUAAUUUCAGCUCUAAUAAGCACAGCAAAGACAUAUGAGUUCAGUGGCUAUGUCUUAGAAAUAUGGAAUCAAUUUAUAUAUACUGAAGUAGAUGCAGAAACAGUCGUUGAUAUAAUAAAAUUAAUAGCUAAGAAGCUAAAGAAUAAGGAUUUACAAGUUAUAAUAGCUAUUCCACCGACUCGAGCAUCUGAAGCUCAAAGGUUUUCUCGAAAAUAUUUUGACUACUUAUCACCUUAUGUUGAUUAUUUUUCUCUGAUGACUUACGAUUUUGCGAGUAUUCAACGCCCAGGUCCGAACAGUCCACUCGAAUGGGCACGAGACUGUGUAAGAAUAUUAGUACCUGAUGAUAACAGUCCAAAACGUGCACAAAUUUUAAUGGGAUUGAACUUUUAUGGUAAUAAUUACACGCCUGAAGGCGGUGGUCCUAUCUUGGGACAUGAAUAUUUAAAAUUUCUUGAGUCUGCAAAAGGAAAAAUUCAAUGGGAUGAUAAGAGCAAAGAACACUUCUUUGAAUACAAAUCUUCUACAGGCAGUGGUUUUGUUUUUUAUCCAACACUUUAUUAUAUUCAACAGCGUCUAGAUUUGGCCAAACAAUUAGGAACUGGAAUUUCUAUUUGGGAGCUUGGACAGGGUCUCAAUUAUUUUUACGAUCUAUUUUAAGAAUGUUCACAUUAUUUCAACCCAACCGAGCCGAACCGCAUAUUCUAGAAAGUCCUUUGCGAGAAAAAUAUGACAGUUAUGGAGAAGAUUGGAUAUUUAUGCCUGAUGGUAAUGAUAAUCCACAAGUAGCUAUUUUGAAAGGGUCUGGUCCUGAGUUGGUAAAUCGAGGAUUUUUGAGUGAAGAAAUCUGGUCCUGAAAAUGGAACCGCGUUAUUUACUGAUAAUCCAGAUGCUUUAAGAAAUUCUGACUUCUCUCCUUUCCGACAAACUAAAUUUAUUACUCAUGGAUGGAAAUCUAGUGCGUUAGCUGUAGGUCCA
rnacentral:misc_RNA from 1 species